GACGCCAAUGUCCUCUGUCUUCUUCUUCUCGGUGCACUCGGUCCAGGCCGUGAGUUGAUGCUUUCAUCCGGGCUGCAAAGGUGCGGCCAUCUUUUAGUUGCCUUCCAGCCAAACACUCAAAGAUCCACAGAGACAGAGCGCACACUCUCACGUAGAAACACGGCGUGACGUGAGGGGAAAAGUCCACUUCACCUUGUUUCUCUUUCAUUUCAGCCCAGUACGAUCCAGCUGGUAAGUAAAACAUCUUUUCUUUGAGCCGCAAGAAACAAAGCCGUGGUGAAGCGUCACUCACAUGGAGGUCUGAUGUGGACCUUUGUUACAAGUUUAGCCGGAAAAGCCCAACUGGAGCUGACUCCUUCACAAUAAAAGUCCCUCCUGUGAGCACACGCAAUACAAAGUCUGGCAUAUCUCACUUUUGACAGGAGUCCUCAUGAUGAGGAUCAGCCAAAUGAGACAUCAAGUGUGCUGACUCGUCAUGUUUCCAAGUCACACCUCAAAGAUCUGAUGUGAGUGACGAGGCACCUUCUGGAUGUUCUUCCUUCACCGUUUGCGUUUGUCCCGCAGCUCGCCACGGCGGCGUGGAGCUCGACGAGAACGUGCAGGCGGCUGAAGGCUGAGAUGCUUUGUGCACUGGAACACAGGGAGAUGUCUCCAUCGCUGAGGGACGUCAUCACACUCGGAGAUGAGAUGGAGAUGUGCUUUGUUCUUCGUCCGACUGCUCCUCACGCUAUUCCAUGUAUUCUUCUUUGGCCGUUAAAAGACUUUCAAGAUCAAACGUUGGUGGCUGUAAAAUCGCACGUUUCAUGGCCUUGACGUCAUGACGAGGAUUUCUUCUUUUCUUUCAAUGGCCGCUGCUUAUGAUCAAUAUCACAUUGUGUCACAUCUCUGUCAAUAAAUCCGUUUUUUCUCCA